AGUUGCAGGGUAUAGACCCGAAACCCGGUGAUCUAGCCAUGGGCAGGUUGAAGGUUGGGUAACACUAACUGGAGGACCGAACCGACUAAUGUUGAAAAAUUAGCGGAUGACCUGUGGCUGGGGGUGAAAGGCCAAUCAAACCGGGAGAUAGCUGGUUCUCCCCGAAAGCUAUUUAGGUAGCGCCUCGUGAAUUCAUCUCCGGGGGUAGAGCACUGUUUCGGCUAGGGGGCCAUCCCGGCUUACCAACCCGAUGCAAACUGCGAAUACCGGAGAAUGUUAUCACGGGAGACACACGGCGGGUGCUAACGUCCGUCGUGAAGAGGGAAACAACCCAGACCGCCAGCUAAGGUCCCAAAGUCAUGGUUAAGUGGGAAACGAUGUGGGAAGGCCCAGACAGCCAGGAUGUUGGCUUAGAAGCAGCCAUCAUUUAAAGAAAGCGUAAUAGCUCACUGGUCGAGUCGGCCUGCGCGGAAGAUGUAACGGGGCUAAACCAUGCACCGAAGCUGCGGCAGCGAACGUAUCACC
rnacentral:rRNA from 1 species